CCUACGGUGGCUGCAGUGGGGAAUAUUGGACAAUGGGCGAAAGCCUGAUCCAGCCAUGCCGCGUGUGUGAAGAAGGCCUUCGGGUUGUAAAGCACUUUCAGUGGGGAAGAAAGCCUUGGGGCUAAUACCCUCGAGGAAGGACAUCACCCACAGAAGAAGCACCGGCUAACUCCGUGCCAGCAGCCGCGGUAAUACGGAGGGUGCGGGCGUUAAUCGGAAUUACUGGGCGUAAAGCGCGCGUAGGCGGUCUGAUAAGCCGGUUGUGAAAGCCCCGGGCUCAACCUGGGAACGGCAUCCGGAACUGUCAGGCUAGAGUGCAGGAGAGGAAGGUAGAAUUCCCGGUGUAGCGGUGAAAUGCGUAGAGAUCGGGAGGAAUACCAGUGGCGAAGGCGGCCUUCUGGACUGACACUGACGCUGAGGUGCGAAAGCGUGGGUAGCAAACAGGAUUAGAUACCCUAGUAGUC
rnacentral:rRNA from 1 species